GUUAGAAUAUCCUGGGCCUAGGUCUUUGUUCUCAGUGGAGUAUUUGUGUGCUUCCUGCAUUACUUAGGGUUAGAUGAAUGCCUUAUUAUAAUUAAUGGGUAAGGAUCAGGAUUUGAGGAGCCAUCCAGAUGGCCUACAAUCCAGGAAAAGCUAUCAAGAGUCUGAAGUAUUGGCUUUUAGUGUGGAGGAAUUGGCAUCAAUAAGUAAACCUGGUUUUUUCUUCUUCAUGUAUAUAUGUAUGUAUGUGUGUGCACAAUGCCCAGCAGUCACGCACCAUUAAGAAAGUCAGGCAUGUCCAAUAAAAUUAGAGCUUCCUGGUCUAACUUGGGUCUCUGGUACAGUCAAGCCUCAGCCUGUCUCAAAAGGCGUUAGCUGGGCAUCAAGUGCUCUUCAAACUGGACGUGACUUAGAGACCAACCUGUUUAUUAAUCUCAUGGUACAGAUGGGGAAACUGAAGGAGAAGAGGAGAAGGAACUUCAUAUCGCAGAGAUCAGCAUCCAGUUUGGUUGCUCUGGAAGAAACAAGAGAAGAGUGCUUCUGAGUACAUAGAUCCUCCUUUGGAUGCAUAAUAAGAAUCACAUGAGGCAUCCAGAAUGGAAACAACUGUCCAAGCCACCGCAGGAAGCUUACACCCCACGUUCCCAGGCAGAAGUGUGGAUGUUUCCAAACCUAACAGUCUUGGUCCUGGUAAUGCAGUUCACUAAUGAAAUUUCCAUCAUGUUUCUGCUGUCUCAGCGUUUUUACUCAUACUAAGACUUACAAGGCCUCAGCUGCACUUCCCACAUAGCUGAGGGGUAUUAGAGGCUGCAUCACAGUGUACUGUGGGGCUGGGGAGAGUAGGCUGGGCCAGGACAGGCAGGACAUUAUCAUUAUGGGUUAAUUAAGAUAUGGCGAGUUAAUUGAGGAAUCAUUUUUCUGUAUUAUAAGUACAGGGAUGCAUAGCCAAUGCAAACAUUGCCACAACAUAGAAAUAUACAGAGUUCAAAGGAAAAGGACAGGACACACCCAUAAGUGUACACAAUCCCUGCUAUUCCCCAGAGGUGACCACAGUUAACUGUUUGUGGUAUCCUUCCAGAACUUCUGCUAUGCAUUUGCAUACAAAUACAUAUACAGAUGUGUUCAUGUUAAAAAAAACAUAUAAAUGUGGUUGUUUUAUAUUUAAUGUUCUGUAACUUGCUUUUUUUGAUUUAACAAGUUGAUUUUUUUUGUCUUAGCACAAAUAGGUAUUCUAUAUAUUUUUAGAAUAGAUGUAUCCAUUUAUUUUUUAAAAAUUCUCUUUUCAAUAAAAAUUAAAUCUAUUUCCA
rnacentral:lncRNA from 12 species